rnacentral:rRNA from 1 species
CCGGGAUUGCCUCAGUAACGGCGAGUGAAGCGGCAAGAGCUCAAAUUUGAAAGCUGGCUCCUUCGGAGUCCGCAUUGUAAUUUGCAGAGGAUGCUUUGGGUGCGGCCCCCGUCUAAGUGCCCUGGAACGGGCCGUCAGAGAGGGUGAGAAUCCCGUCUUGGGCGGGGUGUCCGUGCCCGUGUAAAGCUCCUUCGACGAGUCGAGUUGUUUGGGAAUGCAGCUCUAAAUGGGUGGUAAAUUUCAUCUAAAGCUAAAUACUGGCCGGAGACCGAUAGCGCACAAGUAGAGUGAUCGAAAGAUGAAAAGCACUUUGAAAAGAGAGUUAAACAGCACGUGAAAUUGUUGAAAGGGAAGCGCUUGCGACCAGACUCGCCCGCGGGGUUCAGCCGGCAUUCGUGCCGGUGUACUUCCCCGUGGGCGGGCCAGCGUCGGUUUGGGCGGCCGGUCAAAGGCCCCUGGAAUGUAGUACCCUCCGGGGUACCUUAUAGCCAGGGGUGCAAUGCGGCCAGCCUGGACCGAGGAACGCGCUUCGGCACGGACGCUGGCAUAAUGGUCGUAAACGACCCGUCUUGAAACACGGACCAAGGAGUCUAACAUCUACGCGAGUGUUCGGGUGUCAAACCCGUGCGCGCAGUGAAAGCGAACGGAGGUGGGAGCCCCCUCGCGGGGCGCACCAUCGACCGAUCCUGAUGUCUUCGGAUGGAUUUGAGUAAGAGCGUAAAUGUGGGGACCCGAAAGAUGGUGAACUAUGCCUGAAUAGGGCGAAGCCAGAGGAAACUCUGGUGGAGGCUCGCAGCGGUUCUGACGUGCAAAUCGAUCGUCAAAUUUGGGUAUAGGGGCGAAAGACUAAUCGAACC